rnacentral:rRNA from 1 species
GAUGAACGCUGGCGGCGUGCCUAAUACAUGCAAGUCGAGCGAACGGACGAGAAGCUUGCUUCUCUGAUGUUAGCGGCGGACGGGUGAGUAACACGUGGAUAACCUACCUAUAAGACUGGGAUAACUUCGGGAAACCGGAGCUAAUACCGGAUAAUAUUUUGAACCGCAUGGUUCAAAAGUAAAAGACGGUCUUGCUGUCACUUAUAGAUGGAUCCGCGCUGCAUUAGCUAGUUGGUAAGGUAACGGCUUACCAAGGCAACGAUGCAUAGCCGACCUGAGAGGGUGAUCGGCCACACUGGUACUGAGACACGGUCCAGACUCCUACGGGAGGCAGCAGUAGGGAAUCUUCCGCAAUGGGCGAAAGCCUGACGGAGCAACGCCGCGUGAGUGAUGAAGGUCUUCGGAUCGUAAAACUCUGUUAUUAGGGAAGAACAUAUGUGUAAGUAACUGUGCACAUCUUGACGGUACCUAAUCAGAAAGCCACGGCUAACUACGUG